UACGGAGGAUCCAAGCGUUAUCCGGAAUUACUGGGCGUAAAGAGUUGUGUAGGCGGUUUGUUAAGCAAAUAGUGAAAGCGUGGGGCUCAACCUCAUAUCCAUUAUUUGAACUGGCAGACUAGAGUGUGGAAGAGGUAACUGGAAUUCCUUGUGUAGGAGUGAAAUCCGUAGAUAUAAGGAGGAACACCGAUGGCGUAGGCAGGUUACUGGUCCAUUACUGACGCUCAGACACGAAAGCAUGGGGAGCGACCGGG
rnacentral:misc_RNA from 1 species